rnacentral:rRNA from 1 species
UACGUAGGUGGCAAGCGUUGUCCGGAUUUAUUGGGUUUAAAGGGUGCGUAGGCGGUCCUAUAAGUCAGUGGUGAAAUACUCCAGCUCAACUGGAGAGGUGCCAUUGAUACUGCAGGACUAGAGUACUGAUGAGGUAGGCGGAAUGGACGGUGUAGCGGUGAAAUGCUUAGAUAUCGUCCAGAACACCGAUAGCGAAGGCAGCUUACUAAAGAGUAACUGACGCUGAGGCACGAAAGUGUGGGGAUCAAACAGG